ensembl:lncRNA
GGGGACGUGGGGACGUGUGGGGGCACGUGGGGAUGUAUGGGGACGUAUGGCGUCAGAUGGGAACAUGGGGACGUAUGGGGGCAUGGGGAUGUAUGGGGACGUGGGGAUGAAUGGGGACGUGGGCACAUAUGGGGUCAGAUGGGGACAUGGGGAUGUAUGGGGUCAGAUGGGGACAUGGGGACGUGGGGACAUAUGGGGUCAGAUGGGGACAUGGGGAUGUAUGGGGGCAUGGGGACAUAUGGGGUCAGAUGGGGACAUGGGACAUAUGGGGUCAGAUGGGGACAUGGGGACGUAUGGGGGCAUGGGGAUGUAUGGGGGCAUGGGGACGUGAGGACAUAUGGGGACAUAUGGGGUCAUGGAGACAAAUGGGGACAUAGAGGUGUAUGGGGAUGUAUGGGGACAUGGAGACAUAUAUGGACAAAUGGGAACAUGGCGAUGUAUGGCGAUGUAUGGGGUCACACAACAUCACAGUGACAGCGACACAAAGUCACAGCGACACGGUGACACAACGACACAACAUUGCAGCGACACAACAACACAACAUCACGGCGACACAACACAACAUCACGGGGACACAGCGACACGGCGACACAACAUUGCAGCGACAUAACAACACAACAUCA